GACGUAGGGCGCGAGCGUUGUCCGGAUUUAUUGGGCGUAAAGAGCUCGUAGGCGGUCUGUCGCGUCUGCUGUGAAAACUCGGGGCUUAACCCCGGGCCUGCAGUGGGUACGGGCAGACUAGAGUGCGGUAGGGGAGACUGGAAUUCCUGGUGUAGCGGUGAAAUGCGCAGAUAUCAGGAGGAACACCGGUGGCGAAGGCGGGUCUCUGGGCAGUAACUGACGCUGAGAAGCGAAAGCGUGGGUAGCGAACAGG
rnacentral:rRNA from 1 species